GGAUGUGAUAAUGAUCUGGCUUUGGUGUGUGCCACCUCACUGAGCAUCAGGGUUGAUUCUGCUAAUCAGGUUGGCUAGUCCUGUGGUCCUUUCUCCCUCCUGAACUGCAGAUGAGGAGAAUGAGUGCCUCCAAGCUUCCCAGAUGGUCUUUGGUCAAAAGUAUACAAGCAGCUGUGCUCCCCUACCAGAACCUCCAAGCAAGCACACCUGUAGGUUUUAUUUGACAAACUCCAGACAUAGAAGAUUUGGGUCACAGAGUGUACCCAAAUU
rnacentral:snRNA from 1 species